GUGGGGAAUAUUGGACAAUGGGCGAAAGCCUGAUCCAGCCAUGCCGCGUGUGUGAAGAAGGUCUUCGGAUUGUAAAGCACUUUAAGUUGGGAGGAAGGGCAGUAAGUUAAUACCUUGCUGUUUUGACGUUACCGACAGAAUAAGCACCGGCUAACUUCGUGCCAGCAGCCGCGGUAAUACGAAGGGUGCAAGCGUUAAUCGGAAUUACUGGGCGUAAAGCGCGCGUAGGUGGUUUUGUAAGUUGGAGGUGAAAUCCCCGGGCUCAACCUGGGAACUGCCUCCAAAACUGCAUGACUAGAGUACGGUAGAGGGUAGUGGAAUUUCCUGUGUAGCGGUGAAAUGCGUAGAUAUAGGAAGGAACACCAGUGGCGAAGGCGACUACCUGGACUGAUACUGACACUGAGGCGCGACAGCGUGGGGAGCAAACAGGAUUAGAUACCCGGGUAGUCC
rnacentral:rRNA from 1 species